ACUCCUGCGGGAGGCAGCAGUGGGGAAUUUUGGACAAUGGGCGAAAGCCUGAUCCAGCAAUGCCGCGUGAGUGAAGAAGGCCUUCGGGUUGUAAAGCUCUUUUGUCAGGGAAGAAACGGUGAAAGCUAAUAUCUUUUGCUAAUGACGGUACCUGAAGAAUAAGCACCGGCUAACUACGUGCCAGCAGCCGCGGUAAUACGUAGGGUGCAAGCGUUAAUCGGAAUUACUGGGCGUAAAGCGUGCGCAGGCGGUUUUGUAAGUCUGAUGUGAAAUCCCCGGGCUCAACCUGGGAAUUGCAUUGGAGACUGCAAGGCUAGAAUCUGGCAGAGGGGGGUAGAAUUCCACGUGUAGCAGUGAAAUGCGUAGAUAUGUGGAGGAACACCGAUGGCGAAGGCAGCCCCCUGGGUCAAGAUUGACGCUCAUGCACGAAAGCGUGGGGAGCAAACAGGAUUAGAUACCCCGGUAGUCCCAUGA
rnacentral:rRNA from 1 species